CUGUUGGCCGUGGAUCAAACACGAAAAGUCACAAACUCGUUUCCCCAUCUAUUCCUUGCAUAUCACAGUCACCUGGCUUUUUGCAACAGAAAGAAAAAAACAGUCACCUGGCUUUGUGUUUUGACAAAAGGCUGCAUGUCAUCAACGCAAAAGCUUCAUUGUUUUAUGUUUAUAUGACAUUUUAUUAUUAUGAUCAUUUGUUUGUUGGUCUUGUUCUUGACUAAACAUGUCAAAUUGUUUGGCAAAAACGAAAUAGUAGUUGAUUCCGUGUGCGGAAUAAAAUCGAUAAGCCAUCUACGAAGAAGCGAAGGACAUAAUCCAAUUUCCUGCAUUUGGCCCGUACAAGUCUAUGAACGUGUUUCUUUAUUUU
rnacentral:lncRNA from 1 species